rnacentral:misc_RNA from 1 species
GAUGAAGAACGUAGUGAAAUGCGAUACGUAAUGUGAAUUGCAGAAUUCAGUGAAUCAUCGAGUCUUUGAACGCACAUUGCGCCCCCUGGUAUUCCGGGGGCAUGCCUGUCCGAGCGUCAUUGCUGCCCUCAAGCACGGCUUGUGUGUUGGGCCUCCGUCCUCCUCCCGGGGGACGGGCCCGAAAGGUAGCGGCGGCACCGCGUCCGGUCCUCGAGCGUAUGGGGCUUCGUCACCCGCUCUUGUAGGCCCGGCCGGCGCUUGCCGACACAUCAAUCUUUUUUCCAGGUUGACCUCGGAUCAGGUAGGGAUACCCGCUGAACUUAAGCAUAUCAAUAAGCGGAGGA